GAGCCAUCCGAGGGACGUGACUUCCAUGACCGUCCUUGGACAACCUGCUGACCAUGCUGCAGGCAACUCUUGGCUGGAGCCUGCAGCCUGCAUGGGGCAGUCCCGAUGCCAGUGCACAUGGCGGGGAGCCUAGCGGCAGCUGGCUUUUGCUCUCCUCCCCACCCAUGCACCCUGGGCUCUUGAAACAGAAGAGGGUGCUCUCCAGACCACGGACCAGCCAUCAGUCUUGGAUUCUGAAAAAAUCCUACUCU